rnacentral:rRNA from 1 species
GGCUACACAUGCAAGUCGAGCGGCAGCGGGAAAGUAGCUUGCUACUUUUGCCGGCGAGCGGCGGACGGGUGAGUAAUGCCUGGGAAAUUGCCCAGUCGAGGGGGAUAACAUUUGGAAACGACUGCUAAUACCGCAUACGCCCUACGGGGGAAAGCAGGGGACCUUCGGGCCUUGCGCGAUUGGAUGUGCCCAGGUGGGAUUAUCUAGUUGGUGAGGUAAUGGCUCACCAAGGCGACUAUCCCUAGCUGGUCUGACAGGAUGAUCACCCACACUGGAACUGAGAAACGGUCCCGACUCCUACGGGAGGGCUCAGUGGGGAAUAUUGCACAAUGGGGGAAACCCAGAUGCAGCCAUGCCGCGUGUGUGAAGAAGGCCUUCGGGUUGUAAAGCACUUUCAGCGAGGAGGAAAGGUUGAUGCCUAAUACGUAUCAACUGUGACGUUACUCGCAGAAGAAGCACCGGCUAACUCCGUGCCAGCAGCCGCGGUAAUACGGAGGGUGCAAGCGU